GCGGGAGUAGCUCAAUUGGCCAGAGCAUCAGCCUUCCAAGCUGAGGGUUACGGGUUCGAGCCCCGCCUCCCGCU
rnacentral:tRNA from 1 species